UACGGAGGGAGCUAGCGUUGUUCGGAAUUACUGGGCGUAAAGAGCGCGUAGGCGGAACGUUAAGUCCGAUCUGAAAGCCCCCGGCUCAACCGGGGAGGGUGGUUGGAAACUGGCGUUCUUGAGGGCGAUAGAGGAAGGUGGAAUUCCUGGUGUAGCGGUGAAAUGCGUAGAGAUCAGGAGGAACACCAGUGGCGAAGGCGGCCUUCUGGGUCGACCCUGACGCUGAGGCGCGAAAGCGUGGGGAGCAAACAGG
rnacentral:rRNA from 1 species